AUUGAACGCUGGCGGCAUGCUUUACACAUGCAAGUCGGACGGCAGCGGAGGUGCUUGCACCUGCCGGCGAGUGGCGAACGGGUGAGUAACAUAUUGGAAUGUACCGAGUAGUGGGGGAUAACCAAUCGAAAGAUUGGCUAAUACCGCAUACGUCCUGAGGGGGAAAGCAGGGGAUCUUCGGACCUUGCGCUAUUUGAGCAGCCAAUAUCUGAUUAGCUAGUUGGUGGGGUAAGGGCCCACCAAGGCGACGAUCAGUAGCGGGUCUGAGAGGAUGAUCCGCCACACUGGGACUGAGACACGGCCCAGACUCCUACGGGAGGCAGCAGUGGGGAAUUUUGGACAAUGGGGGCAACCCUGAUCCAGCCAUGCCGCGUGUCUGAAGAAGGCCUUCGGGUUGUAAAGGACUUUUGUUAGGGAAGAAAAGGAAAGUGUUAAUACCACUUUUUGCUGACGGUACCUAAAGAAUAAGCACCGGCUAACUACGUGCCAGCAGCCGCGGUAAUACGUAGGGUGCGAGCGUUAAUCGGAAUUACUGGGCGUAAAGCGAGCGCAGACGGUUACUUAAGCAGGAUGUGAAAUCCCCGGGCUCAACCUGGGAACUGCGUUCUGAACUGGGUAGCUAGAGUAUGUCAGAGGGGGGUAGAAUUCCACGUGUAGCAGUGAAAUGCGUAGAGAUGUGGAGGAAUACCGAUGGCGAAGGCAGCCCCCUGGGAUAAUACUGACGUUCAUGCUCGAAAGCGUGGGUAGCAAACGGG
rnacentral:rRNA from 1 species